CAUGGAGGGUGAGAAUCCCGUCCGGCCGACAUCAUGAUGUUCUACGAUACGCUUUCAAAGAGUCGAGUUGUUUGGGAUUGCAGCUCAAAAUGGGAGGUAAAUUUCUCCUAAGGCUAAAUAUUGGCGAGAGACCGAUAGCGAACAAGUACCGUGAGGGAAAGAUGAAAAGAACUUUGAAAAGAGAGUUAAAAAGUACGUGAAAUUGUUGAAAGGGAAACGAUUGAAGUCAGUCGUACCGACGAGAAAUCAGCUUUUCGAAUGUGCAUUUGUGGGCGUAUGAGAUCUUCAUUGUUUGCAAUAUGUAUAUUUCUUUGGUGUACUUUUUCGUAUGGUAGGUCAAUGUCGGUUUUGAUCGCCAUAAAAUGAUCGGAGGAAUGUAGCUUCGACCUCGGUUGAAGUGUUAUAGCCUUUGGUAAAUGUGGUGAUUAGGACCGAGGAUUGCAACGAAUACCUUUUAGGCUAUCCGUCUGACCUCUGAAAGUUACUUAGGUGCCGAAAGCUUGCUUACGUUCAUUUAAGUUGACGGUCAAUAGGUUAGAACGUGAUUACAUUCGUUAAGGAUGUUGACGUAAUGG
rnacentral:rRNA from 1 species